rnacentral:lncRNA from 1 species
UCCUGGAUGGUGCUCAUCACGCUGGUCUCCCAUUUCCGGGUGUAGGGCCGGAUCUUCUCCACACGGAUGGGGGAACCGUCGCCGGAGGAGGAGGCGUUGUUCCCGCCGGCGAAGAGGAGGAUGGAGGAGGUGGAGGGACUGGUACGGACGUCGCCCCGGAGAACGCAGACGUCGGACCGGAUGCUAGAGGUACGGUCACACCAGAUGGAGUUCUCCGGCACGGAGGAGUAGCUCACCUCGCCGGCGUCGGAGGGGAAGACGGACUCCGGUUCAGAGCCUGGAGAAACAAGGAAAGCGCCGCCGGAAUCAGAGGAGGAAGGAGAAGAGAAGAAAGAAGGAAUACGUGAACUGGGGGAGGAAAAGAGGGAGCUUACAGAGGAAGGAGGAGAAGAAAGGCCCGCCGAAGCAGAGGCGGGGGCCAAGGAAGACGCUGCAGGAGACGAGGAUGAAGAGGAAGAGGAGGCGGAGAAGGUGGCGCCGCCGUUUCUUCAUGCCGCCGCAGGGCUCCCGGAGCGGCAACUCCUCGUUCCCCUUGUUGUGGAGAAGCCACGGCCGGUGGUGGUGCACCAUCUUCCUCGUCUUCCUCUUCAGAAAACAGCCGACCGCUCAGAAUCCAGGAGACCCACCCAAUAAGAGCGCCGCCUCUCAAGCCAGAGCACUAGGAUCCACA